rnacentral:RNase_P_RNA from 1 species
UUGGCUAUUCGCUCUAUCGCUGUUCCGCAUUUGCGGAAGAGAGGAAAGUCGGGACAACACAGGACGCCAUACUUCCUAACGGGAAGGUAUUUCGAGAAAUUGAGAUAACAGCAAGUGCAACAGAAAGGAAACCGCCCAAGAUUGUUUUCGGACAAUACGGCAAGGGUGAAAUCGUGGAGUAAGAGCCCACGCUUGUUUUAUGUGAAUAAAACCGGAGGUAAACCUUAUGGGUUGAAAGACUAAAUAAACCGAGGAUUUUUUGUUUCGGCAGAAAAAUAGGCUUGUCCGGCCAAACUCGGAGGGUAAGUCGCUUGAGCCGCAGAGUGAUUUUCGGCCUAGAUAAAUGAUAGAGGUUCCGCAUUGCGGAAUACAGAAUCCCGCUUACAGAAUAGCCAAAAAC